CUCUAGUUGAUGCAAAAGUUGCUGCAGUUAAAACGCUCCUACUCGGUGAUUGGGGGUAACUGCGGAACCCAGGCUUAGCCUGUGUGUGCCGUGGUGCCCCUUCUGUUGCGCGGUUUCGAUCGCGCAACCAGUUACCAUGAUUAAAUUGUAGUGCUCAGAGCAGGCUUACGCAGCUGAACAACUUAGCAUGGGAUAACAAGCCACGACUCUUCGUGAUUUGUUGGGUAUUAUGACGGAGUAAUGAGUAAUAGGGGCGGUUGGGGGCCUUAGUACGAUGUCGUUAGAGGUGAAAUUCCAAGAUCGACGUCAGACUAACUGAAGCGAAAGCGUUGGCCAAGGACGCUCUCUUUGA
rnacentral:rRNA from 1 species